UCCAUUUCAUUACAUACAAAAAUUGAUGGUAAUGACUAAUGAUUCUAAUGAACACUGAUACCGUAAUAAGAGUGUUUAGAGUAAUGUUUAAAAAUAAUGGCUCCAUGAUUCUUUUUUUUUUUUUGCCGUCCAUUCAUUAGCCCAUAAGAGCAGAAAAGGGGUACAUUUUAGUUCAACUAGGCCCAUACAACAUUAAUAAACACGUCAGAACUAAACGUGUUAAUUAAAGAGAAAGACUUUAUCCACGUGUCAAGCCUAAGGUUUCAUGCAAGCAGACUCAUCUUUAUCUUCGUGAUAUCCAACGCCGAAAAUUCUCCGUCACCGGAAACCACCGUGGAACCACCUUAUGAAGAACUAGGCUUGCCAAGAGUAGCGUACCUCCAUUAAACUUGCUCGAAGUUACUCCUCCGACUAAAUCCUGUGCGUAUUUCUGGUCGGAAAUUUUCACUUCUUCGUAAAUCAUCACCACCGAUCAUCACUAAUUCAAGACACGUCACCUUUCGCCUUAAACAAGGCUUUUGAAAUAGGGGACUUGAGGAGAUCAAAAGAUCUCAGCCAAGAGAGUAUGAUACCAGAAUUGAAGAAGAUGAAUCUCCACACUUACCACCGGAUUUUAAAACCGCCGCCUUCUAUAAGGAACCCAUCUGCGGAGGAGAAAGGGCAUGACACCAUCUGAAACAAACCGAAAAUCAUUUGCUUUACCAUAAAGACCCAUGAUUCCUCUACCAUAAUGAGAUCCUUUAAUUCACUAAAGAUUAGUGAAGGAUUUUACUCACAAAAGUAGAAAAAUCAAUUAACAAAGAUAGCAAAAGAACUUCGAUAGACGGAUGAAAAGAGAUCCGAUCGAGUCGGAAUUUAUUAUCCGGUAAAACGGAAGAAAGAUCCGAUCAAGUCGGAAUAUAUACAACAAAAACCGGAUUAAUCCGGUGAAGUUUCCGAUUUCAGAAGGAAAUCGGAAAUCGCCUCUCUCUCUCUGAAAAAUAGGAGUGAGAGAAGAGAGAGAGAGUUUGCUUUCUAUGGCUCCAUGAUUCAAAUGUACGUAAGUCUAUGUAUUGAAUUUUCCAAUAAAAUAUUAUUAUAUCAUUUAACUAUCCGACCCGAUUCUCAACCCGGUUGUGUUUGGAUAUUAUAAUCGUGAAUCUGCCUGUCGACGAGUCGAAAUCGGAACUUGAGGGAUCGUUUUCGUUGGAGAUCUCACCUCUACAGCUCUGCGAUUUCCGGCUAGAGAGAUUAGGGUUUCCAGUAUCCUCGGUAUGUAACUUGGAGGCUGCUUAUGGAGCUGGAUAGUUCUAUUUCUUAUUCUCCCUUUUAUCUAUUCACUGUGAAUUUCUGGGGUUUAAGCUUCAAUUGUUGUUGUUUUUUGUUUCCAUCGGAUUAGGAAUCAGAUGUAUUCUGAUCGAAUGGAGGCUGAGGCUGAAAGCAGGAAGACGGUAAAGAACCGACUCAACGGCGGUUCUGUGGACAUCUCUUCUCGCGGGAGACAGGUCACGAGGAAGAGGUUCUAUUUUCUCUUACUCUUCCCCAUUGAUGUUGCUGCUUUUUAGGUUCUUACUUCAUUGGCCAUAACGCAGCUAUAUGAAUUCUUGUUUUUGAAUCUCCCCUGUGGUUUCUUGUAUUAGGACUAAUCGAUUCGCUGAUUUGCUCAUUUACUCAUUUGCUUUUGCUAAUUUUAACUAUUUCAAACAGGAUAGUUAAGUAAGGAGAUUUUGUGAUGUUUAAGAAGUUCACUUGAUUUGAGAUGGUGUGAUAUACUAUUGAUUUACAUCUUUCUCUCUCUGUAGUCUAAAUUGAAAGUUACACUUCCCCUCCAUUGUGUUUUUACCUUCUUCUAGCAUAAGGUUGGAAACCAAAUCUGAUGAACGUACUACCUAAUGCUUUCAGGGAAAGACAGGAUGACGAUAAGUGGCAGCAUGAUCUUUUCGAUGAUGACAUGCCUCGAAUAUCAAGUAUGUUUUAGCUCCGACUUUUCCUUGCUUGAUUAAAUUUACUUUUACAGUCAUUCAAUGCUGCAAAAGUAUCUCUGUUUGUUUGUUGACUCUGUGGUUAUUGACUACCAAGAUCGCAGAGUUGACCCGAAAGAUCUCCGCUUGAAGCUCCAAAAGAAACAUCAUGGCUUGCAAAGUCGACUUGGAGCUAAGUUGAGCGUGCCGGAUCUACGGGAUAAGCUAUCUGGGACGAUGAAUUCACAACCAAGGAUCAGUAACCCACCAAAAUCUAGAACGGAGGCUGCUAGACCAGGCAUAAAGAAGGUUUCAGGUGAAACCAAAUCUGAGACCAGGACAGCUUCGAACAAAGCUACCAAGAAGAAAUCACAGCAGGCAAUUAUAUAUAAUUCAUUUUCUCCAACUAUAUAGUUCUCCAUCAGUAUUUUGUGCCUUGUAGCUUUUCAAUACCUCUUCGACUGAAUGGCUGUUUUAGCAGCACUAGUUCUCAGUUUGUUAUUUAUUGGUUCAGGCUGAUACGUCUGUUGAUAGCUUCCUGGAAUCAUUGGGUCUCGAGAAAUAUUCCACCGCAUUUCAAGUGGAAGAAGUAUGUAAAAUCAGCAUAUUUACUGUUAAAGAUUAACUCAUGCGUUCUCUUCUCAUUUGUUUCCAUCUUUUCAGGUUGAUAUGGAUGCUCUAAUGCAUAUGACAGAUGAUGACCUCAAAGCUCUUCUCAUACCAAUGGUAAAAUAUCCAUGAUAAGCUGCCACAAAAUUAGUUUUUCCCCCGUGCUUAAUUUCAGCUUACCUUACGAAUAGUCAUUGCCUUUGUUUUGCUCCAUUCAUAUUCAUUAGAUAAUGCCGUCAUAGUUGUCUGUUUGACAUCCAUUUUCUGUGUUCUUUACAAGGUGUGUUCUUUUUUCAGGGCCCUAGGAAGAAGAUACUCCUGUCUUUGGGAUCUAAACGUGGGUAGAUUUGCUAGUUGCUUCAAGCUUAGGUGAAUGAUUGUCAGAAAGAUCCUGCAUCUGACUUUGCAUUGUCUCUUUUCUUUUUCAUCUGUAUCUCAAAAGACAAAAGUAGGUAUAGAGUUUUGAGAUUAAGCACUUGUAACCUUUUUAGCACAGAGAAUUGAAAGACUGAAAAGCAAUGUUGGAAUGAGAAAAAAAGAAAGAGUUUUGAGCUUCUCUUAAUGAACCUGGUAGAAGCAAAGGGUUAACAAUAAGGUGAGAAACAAACUCUGUUUCUCUUUGGUAAAUCAUCUUUGAGAAGUGAUUGAAGGUGGACACAGAGAUAAUGGCUCAAGAGUUAGAAUAGAUACAAUAACAGAAUCCCAUAAUCAACACAAGCCGUCUUAGCUCAGUGGUAGAGCGCGUGACUUUUAAUCCCGUGGCCGUGGGUUCGAUCCCCACAGACGGCGUUCGAUUUCAGUAUUUUUAAUCUCCAUGAACAUGAUAUUUUUGAUCUUUGCAGCUUUCGUUCUUUGUCAUACUAAAUAUGGAUUUUGAUAUAACUGUCAACAAACACAUUCCUAAGAGUCGAUAGAUAACAAGAACCAAGUUUCAGAGAAGACAUUCAACAUCCAUCCAUAUACUAAAAACAAGAAUCCCACAAAAUUUGUUAACAACACUCCCAAAAAAAAAAACCUUGUUAAAUGACAAACCCAACAAUUCUUACACUAUCUCUUUGUUUUCCCCAAAAUUUGAGUUUGGAGAUUUUGGUUGUCUUCAAGCAAUCUAUCAUACUCCAGAAGCAGCUCUGCAGACUGUUUUUGGAGAGCCGUGACAUGGGUUUCAGCGGUUUCGAGCUUCUUCUCUUUCUCUUUCGACUCAUUCUCUGCUUUCUUAAGUCUCUCUGAAAUAGAUGAUAGUUUUUCUUGCAGCUGCUUGAUUUCCUUGGACGCUUUCUCCUCUUUCUCCUUCAGUUCCGUUCUCUCUUUCUGAAGCUGUUCAAGUUCUUCUUUCGAUGACCCGACGUUGCUUCUUAAAUUGAUUAGCUUUCUCAGGUAAUGAUGCAUCCUGUCAAUUAUGAAGCCGAGGAAAAGUACGACUCCUGCAAGAUCAUUAAGGAGUUUUGAUCUUCAAACUUUAUUUCAUUAUCGACAUUUUUGCAAAGCUAUACAAUGUUCAGAACCCAAAUAGAAGAUUUCAAACAGCCAAAAAUAAGUUUUGAUAAGAAAGUGCAUCACCCCAAUCACCACAUGAGCAAACCACGUCAAAUAAACAUCACACAAAUAAAGAGCUAGUUUUGGGCAUUGAGUAAAUUGUGGGAAGUUUCUUGCUUUGGAAGAGUUGGGAGAUAUUUCAACAAACUUCCUGGAUACUUUUGGUUCUUUGAUAAGGUUCGUUCAUGUGUUCUUGGUUGUAAUUUACAAUUCAAGAUCAAUAAACAAAACAGGUUCCCAACUUAUAAACUACAAAGGCAGCUUCUCAAAUCUGGUGAAUACCAGCAGAACAGAGCCUCAAAUACAACUAUAGAGAUAUUCAAACCCAGUCGCAGUGCUUCUAUACUACCAUCCACUCAUUUGAGAAACAAACUCUCAAUCAUCAUUUUAACAUCUCUGAGAAAUGUCACAGGCAGCAAAAAUAAAAUAAAAAACCUUUAUUUCCACACUCACUCAAUCUAAGCUUGCUAAGUUUACAUUACACAGACCAUCACUCUACAACAAAGCCUAGAUGAAUUUAGUAAUAGCUAAAUUAGCCUUGAAACCCAUGGACCAAGGAAACACAACUAGAUUAUCAGCACAAAAUCCAGCCAAGAUUUCAAAUUUUGUUCAGAGACCAUAGCAAACAACUAAUCUUGAGGCCAACAGCUAAAUUUUCUACAGGUGACCGACCAAUUAAAGCAACAAUCAACUGAAAUAUACACAAACAAAGGCAUAUGGUUCUACCUAGAAGCAAAAAGAAGAAGAAAGACACUGACCCAUUAGAGAAGCUUCAAGCAAGUGAGUUCUCCAAAGGACCUGAUCCAUGGGAGACAUUGUGCCGAGCUUUGCACCUUUGUUCUGGAUCUUGACGAUGCUCAUGAAGUUGGAGAAGAGUAUAACAGACAUGGUUCCAGCGAUGGUUUUCACAGUGGCAGGACCUUUCCCCAUCUUCAGCUGGUCAAGGCUUUUAAUCACAAGCUCCCUCAAAGGACCAAUCUUAAUCAGCAAUAAGAAUGCAAUAGCACCCUCUACAAAUAGCACCAUAAACAGUAGCUGAAUCAUCUCCGAUUUCCCCAACACCCCAAAAAGUUUCUUCCUUUACCACAAUUCACGAAGGAGGUAAACUCUAAACACUAAUUCCAAACUCUCGUCUUCUGUUUUCUACUUGGGUAUGAACUUAAAAAACCAAAACCCAGAUCCGAGGACGAAGAGGAGAAAACAGCGAAUUAUCUAAAUCCCAUUUGCUUUUUCAAUGAUAGGUGGGCUAAGACAGAUCACUCAUUCCUGAUACCACCAGGAAAUCAUAAAAAUGGGGAGGACCAAGAAGAAAUGAAGUCAAGAAAUCAAAGAAGGCUUAUCGGUGUUUCAGUAGGAGAGAUGAAACACUGAAGAGUGAAGAAAGAUCUGAGAGGAGUUCAGUACAAAAGCAUAAAGGUCGUCGAAAUGUUGUUUACUAAUCUAGAGAGAGAGAGAGAGAGAGAGAGCAAGAUCAAUGGCUGUGAUUAAUUGUGUAAUAAUGUAAAAUCUCAAGUUUAAGAGUGAACUCUACUCUAAAAGUAUACUACUCAUGCCUUUUGCACUUGCUUUUGCCAGACGUAAAAUUUUUCUUUUUUGCUUUACUUUAGAGAGAGAUGACGAAUUAGUCUCUAACUAAAGUUGCAUCCAACUUUUGUUUUGUCAGGGAAAAUUGAAUAUAGGAGUUAGUCUCUAGUAAAGUUGCAUCCAAGUUGCGUUUUAGGAACAAUUUCAGAAAAAUUGUAAGGCAAACUGAUAUUUUUUUCGAAAUAAACCAAACUAGAUGAUGUUAUGGGUAUGCCGUUAAAUAUUAUCAAAUUUUCUCAAGUAUCAAAUAAAUUAAGAAUAAUGUCAUUAUGUGGUCAAAGAUUGGUGAUUUAAUCCAAACUUUUUUGUUCAGUUGGUUAAUACAUAAUUGCAGAAAUUGACGUCAGUUUUUUAUAUCUAAACACGCAUGAAGGGCGUCGUAUGUUGGACAUAUUCUUCAUUAAUCAUUAAAAUGCAACGAAGAGAUAAGUCAGCGUAGAAGGAGUCGUCAGUUUAUCCAACCACAAGAAAGACGAGUCAACGUUGAUGAAUUGUCAACGCUUUCGUGUAUACACGUCUCUUUAUAUCUCUUCCUCUCUCUCUCUCCAAAUAAUCUCUUUCUGAUUCAGAGCCAUUAGAGCAUUUCUUCUUUUCUGGCUGCUGGAAAUUCAGAAGCAUGGCAGUAAGUCCGUUUUUAUGUUAAUGGCCUGCAGUAUUUUUCUUUUAUGGAGUACUUUUUUUUUAAAAUUUUGUUUCCACCAUCUCUCUCUGUGUUUUACUUUAAUUUGUUGAAUGGAUAGUAUAUUAUCAUAUUUGUUGGUAGAGUUUUUUAGUAUCUUUACAUGUUUACGAUGUGAAGGUUUUAGAACCUGCAUGAUCACGAGAUUUUCCUGUUUGACUCCGUUGACAUUUUUUCUUUUUGGUGUGUAUGAACAUCACAUCCAAAUUCGUUCUUAUAGUAAUACUAAUAUAGUAUCAAUCAUAAUGAUUAGCAUCCAUAGAGUUUCUAUGUUUCUCUUGUGCCUUCAAUCUCAGCUCUAAAAUUUACCAGAAAGAAAGUUUUAUAUACAAUAAGAACCCUCAGUGAUAUACAAUAUUAUGUUCAUUCAUAUGAGAAUAUUCAUAAUUUUCUAAAAAAAAAAAAGUAAUUUCUCUGGCUUACAAUUCAAAUGCAAGUCUCUAAAACCUUUCUUUUUGUCUUGUAGUUACCGAACCGUCAAAACGUGCCAAAAUUCGGAAACUGGACUGAAGAUACUCCAUUCACGCACGUGUUCGAGAAAGCGAGCAGGAGCAAGAAAGAUACAACAAACAUGUCUAACCCCAGAGAGUAUCCAGAAAUGAACCCAAACCAUUCACAAAAUCGAAACCAUAAUGGACACGUCCAGCCACCAAACCACAAUGUAAAACCAAGACAUGAAAGAUUCAGUAGCAGAGACGAAACAGAACUCAGACCUUUCGAGCCAUCUCCUGCACACAGUGAAAGAAACAACAGAGUCAGAGCUCCUCCAACACCUGAAACGUACAACCAUCAUCAAUCAUAUGGUGGUGGAUGUAAAUUCGGAAAUCCAUCGCAAACAAAUAGACGGCAACCAUAUGAUCCUCCUCCUCCACCGGUGCAACCUAGGCCAAUUCGCAAUCUUAGAGGUCGAAGCAGUGAAAGGGUAUUGACUUUUUUUACGCUCUUCUUUUAUUAAACAAGCAUUCAUGAAUCGAUCAAGAAUGUUUUCUAUAUCGUGUUUCAUUAUACUCUCAUAGAUUCAUUCGAUGUCAUAUUUACCAAGACAUGUGUCACGAUUCAUAAAUAUAAAAUAAAUGUAUAUCUUUCUUUUUUUUUCAACAAGGUCGCAACUAUUCCACCGUUUCCUGGAUCGGGUUCGGAUCAGAAUCAGAGUUACACACUCAUCUUUGACAAAGUGAAGGAAGACAAGAAACAAAGUGGGGCUUUGAGGUCUUACAAUGGAACCGCUCAUAGCACCCCGACUCGACCCAUUUACGACCAACAUCAUCAACCGCUGCCUUCUAGUCCCAAGGUUUGUAUUCGUUUGGAUUGUAUGCGAAACUUUAAUAAGAUUGAACCAAUGCAACCAAAUCUCUAUAUCAAUUAUCACAAGAAUGGAUUUUUAUCGUUUAAUUUACAUAUCAACCAACCAAAUUUUCUUGCACAUUCUUAUCUUGCAAGUUAAUCUAAAUUACACAUCAAAGGUAGUCUCCAUCUUGAAAAAAUGUGGUCACCAUAUAUUCAUAUAUUCUUGUGAUAAUUGAUAUGUAGAUUUUGUUGCAUUGGUUCAAAAUCUCAUUAAAGUUUCGCAUACAAUCUUAUUAAAAAAUUGGCCUUGAUCAAAUUCAUUGCCAAGAGCGAAGCUAAUAUCCUUUAUAUUCGUUCUAUAACAAAUAGCGUAGGACAAGACUAAUUAAACCGUGUAGAAUUGUACAUUAUUAUAUAUUUAUAGUGUUAUUUUCAUAUGUUUUUUUUUUUUAUAAUAACUGUUUUACAUAUUUUUUCUUAUGUAUUAGGGAUUUUAUCACUUACAAAUUAGUAUGCCAGAUAUACACAAGAAAACUAAAAACGAACGAAACUCAAUGUUAGGAAAAUAACUAAAUUAACCUGGUCUGAUUUUGACACGAAAAUGUUAUGGACCAAAGAUCCAAUGAUGAUUAAUGGAAUCUUUGCAAAAUCAGGGUGAUUUUAACUCUUUUAUUAUACGAAAAUAUCACCUGCCCUAUAUCAAACAUCAUACAAGUUUGGUUAUCUGUCUUAUUGAGCUUAACGUUCGUUGUAAACCGUGAUGUGCAGGGUUGCUGCUUUCCUUCAUGGAGCCGAAAGGGAAGACAAUGAAGAUGAUGACCCUUUCCUUCUGUUUCAUAAUUCCCUCGUUUGUUAUUUGCUUCUGCUUGAUUUUUUUCUAUAUUUCUUAUAUAUUGAGACGUAACCAGUGGUUUUCGCUGUAAAUGCUUCAACUUUUUGCAACUCUUUUGUGUUUUCUUUUACCCCCUUGAAUUCGAGUGUGAGAUCUUUAACAAUACAAAAAUGACAUAAGUGUAUGAUAGCAUAUAAAUUACGUCUCUUCUUGUUGAAAAAAUAAAUUAUGUCUUUUAUAUAAAAAAAUGAUGAUGAUUGUAUGAACUAAAUCUUUUUUAUGAGUUGCAUGAUUGCGAGGUUUUUACUUUUUACUAGGUGGGGAUCCGCGAUGCGCGGGUUAGUGAGGUCCAUAAAGUUGAGUACUUAAUUUUUUUUUAUAAUAUUAAAACGCUAAUGUAUUAUAAAAACUUUUAAUUUUGGAAGAGCAUUCAUAGUCAUCAGAUUGAUUAGUUGGAUAAUUAUAUAUUUUUUUAAAAUUCAUUAAUUCUGCAAACACCAUUAUUAUCUUGUAUUCUAUUUGUUUUAUGUUUGAUUCUCGACAAUGAGGACAAUCAUUAAAGAAAAGGAUACGUAAACUAAAAUAUCAUUUAAUAAAUAAUUAAAUAAACCAUUAAAAUAGUAAAACUCUAAACCUUAAAAAAAAAACUAUUGUUUCCUUACAUUCUGAAAGACGGCUUUGUAUACAACGUUCAAAAGUCUUGGUUUGUGGCUGAUCCAUUGUAUUCGUUAUCAGAUUAAUCUUCAAACCAGCUUUUGAAGUAACACGUGAUAUAGCUACAUAAAGUUGUCCAUGGAAAAAUAUUGGUUUUGGUAAAUAUAGGCCAACCUUUUGCAAAGUCUGUCUUUGACUUUUAUUGAUAGUCAUUGCAUAGGCGAUAGCUACCGGAAAUUAUCUACGCCUCAUUCUAAAAGGAAAUAUUGUCUCUGUGGGGGAAACAAACAUUUGUGGGAUCAAGACCUUUUGACCAAUAUAUUCUCCAGUUAUGUGGCUAGCUUGAAUAACAUGUUUGGCCAAUUGUAUUACCAAGAGUCUUGUUCCAUUGCAUAAAUCACCUCUAGGGUCAAUAUUCUGAAGCAACAUAAUAGGUGUCCUUAUUUUCAAUUUCAAUUCAUGGUUUGGCAAUCCUGAAAUCUUAAUACUAUUAAGAUAUUUAUGUGUGUAAACUUUCUCGUCAAUCUUGCCCUUAUCAGAAGUAUCGAUGCUGUCCGAGCUUAAAUAUGUAUGUUCCUCAGCUAAAAAAAAUGUUUUACGAAGUUCACUUGAUCGCAUUAUGAAGUUAAUGUGUAAGAUCGUAUGUAUAAAGCGUUAAAUAUGUUUACCUUUUAUUUCUGACAACAUGUAUUCGUUUAUUAAUCCCACGUCUGCAUUUCUCGGGCUAAGAAUUGCUCUGUCUUAAAAAAAUUUUGGAUCUCUUUCCGAUCUGUAUGAAUCACCAUACACUUCUCUUACUAUCUCUUUAACAGGAUCAGCACAUUCUUUUAUCAGUAAAUNNNNNNNNNNNNNNNNNNNNNNNNNNNNNNNNNNNNNNNNNNNNNNNNNNNNNNNNNNNNNNNNNNNNNNNNNNNNNNNNNNNNNNNNNNNNNNNNNNNNUCCGUCAUUUAUUUAUAUCAAUCAAAUAUAUGUACUUGAACACUUUAACUAUUUCUCUCUCCUCAUCCAUGUGUCCAUCCCUCUUUCCAAUAUUUAUCUCUCAUUCUCUCCUUUCCCCCCUCGUCCUAAAUUUAUAUAUAUCAUAUGAUUUAGAUAACUACAUUUAAAAUAAGAAGUAUUUCGAAAAUAAAAAAUAGGAACACAAAAAAUAUGAGCUAACAUAGAUUGAAUAUCAUGUACCUAUAAGGUUAACUCUCUCUACCAUUUCUCUUUUCUCUCCUUUUUCUCCCCCCCUCUCUCUCUCUCUCUCUCUCUCUCUCUAUUUCUCUCCCUCACACUUUCUCUCUCCAUCGACAUGUCCCUAAAGCAUCUAUAUGUCCCUGAAAGCUUUAACUCAAUUUCUCUCUGUCUCCCCCUUUCUCCAAAUUCAUCACCCAUUUCCCCUUUUUAUUCUUCAAUAUUUUUUUGUCAUGUCAUAAUUUUUCUUAUUAUGAUUUUGUUUUUCCUUUUUUUCGGCCUUCUUCUUCGUCAUUUCUUUCUUCAUUAUCAUCGACGUCAAUUUUCUUAUUCUUUCUCUUUUCUUUUCUCUUCUUCAUCGUCUACAACUUCUAUUUCAUUUCUCUCUUCUGAUUUGUCUUCUUCUUCUUCUUCCUCUUUUGUUUUGUUCUACUCUUCUUCCUAUUAUUUAUCUUUUGGUUUAGUUCUUCUUCGUAUUUUUCUUAUUAUUUUUCAGUUUUUAUUCGUCUUCUUCUUCAAUCUCCAAUUUUAAGGAUUUUGCCUACUUUCUCGGCCCCAAUUUAUUCAUCUUAUUUUUCCUCGUAUUUUCCUUUUUCUGCUUCAUCAUCUUUGUAUUUUCUCAGUUCUUCUUCUUUUUAAAUUUUUAUCAGCCUUCUUUAUUCUCUACUUCUUAUUGCUCUUUGGUCUUCAUCAAACUCUUCUUCUUCUGUUUUUUCUUGAUUUCUUUCUCAUCCUCACCUACUUCAUUUUCUCAUUUCUUCUUCUUUUAUUUUGUUUUCUUCCGGUUUUCUUCUUUAACUAAAACAUCCUUUGUUAUAUCUUUAUUCUUCUUCACUAUUUCGUGUUCUCAUAUGCUUUUUAUAUUCUCAAUGGUUUUAUUCAAAUUCAUCUUUUUUUUUAGUUUUUAUCAUUAACUACAUCUUCUUCUUUAUACUUAUACUUCUAAGUUAUAAGAAUUAUAGGUGAAUAAAAGUAAAAACAAUAUAUAUGAUUUAUUAGGAAAACUAUUUGUAUGUCUUUUUUAACAAUAAAUAACAAUUAUAAAUGGAUUAAAAUAAGAACAAUAUAUAAAUUAUUAAUAGCAAAAACUAAUUAGGAAUCUGUUUAAUUGUUUAUUUUUAUUGAUGGUAACUAAAUUUAGAAAGUACAUUAGGGAAAACAAUUAAAAUCCAAACACAACAAAAAAUCAAAGAAAAUUGUUAAAAUAAGAUAAUUAAAGAAAAUUAAUCAAAGACAAUGCAAGGAAUUGAAGAAACUUAUACUAAAAAACAUUGAAUGGAUCUCCAAAGAUAAAAAGGAUUCAUCAUAGAAGAUGCACGUAACAAAGCAGUGUACAUCAUAAGAAGAAAGGAGUGGGAACCCAUUGACUUUCCUUAUAGAUAGCUUCGACAUACUCGGUAUCAUCGUGCAUUAAACUCAAAGCAUAACAUGCAUCUUUGAAAGUACGGUGGACAACACCGUUAAUUGUUCUUAUAUCCAUCUAAAAACAUGGAUCGCGAACGACAUGCAAUGAAACCCUCAAGUAGUAGGCUUCGCCAGCGUUAGAGUUACAGUUGGCUAUAAUACUCGGUCUGGAGUUACCGCAAAGACGGGGGUGUAUUAAUGUUUUUAUGAUCCCAACCCCAAUGGAUCGGAAAUUCAAAAUACAUAUACGAUAUGGCUUCAGGAUAGUCCUAAUUACACUUUAACGAACCUGUAUAUUUAUCGUUGUAAACAUCGCAGAAAAAUGUUCAUCUUCGUAAAAACGAUUUGAGAUGGAGGCAGAUGUUACGGAAAAUCUGAGGAUCACGGAGGGAAAGAUUGCUGGUAGCUAUAGAAAAUUCAUAAAAUUUUUGAAGGAAAGAACUAUUAGGCAAUGGAUUUACAUAAGACGAAAGUCUAGAAGCAGAAAAAGACAUUUAAAGCACAAACUAAAAUAAACAAACAUGAAUUUUUAUUUACCUGACAAUUUUAUUGUAAAGCGGGAGAUAAAAUAUUCAAUUAGUGAAGUAUGAACUAUAAGAGUAGGUUGUCAUUAUGGAAAUGCAUAAAUAAUAUAUAUAUAUAUAUAUAUAUAUAUAUAUAUCGAUUUUUUUUAAAAAGACAUGGAUUUAUUUUUUAAAAAGUUGCUAAACCUUAGAAGACGGACAUUGUAUGUAAGAAAACAUGAAGACCGAGAGGAGUAUAUAUAGCACGAUAGAUACGCUAGGGUUUAGAUUAGUACUGACUUUGAUAUUGAUGGCCCAUAACCAAAAUCAGUGGCUAUGACCAAAAUCGAGAUUAGUGGCCCAUAAAUAAAAUCAAUGGCCCAUAAUUGAGAAAAAAGACACAUCACGGGUAUUUCCAUGUAAGAUUAAUGAUUGACCUAUCAUAACAAAUUAAAACGCCAUAUAAUAUUUUUUAAUAAUGACACAUAUGACAAUUGCUGUGGAGACGGCACAUCAGAUGUUAUGCGGGGAGGCAGAGAGAAAUUGAGUUAAAGCUUUCAGGGACAUAUAGAUGCUUCAGGGACAUGUCGAUGGAGAGAGAGAGUGUGAGGGAUAGAAAUAGAGAGAGAGAGAGAGAGAGAGAGAGAGAGAGAGAGAGAGAGAGAGAGAGAGAGAGAGAGAGUGAGAGAGAGAGAGAAAAAGGGGAUAAAGAGAUAAAGACAGAGAGAGAAAGAGAAAUGGUAGAGAGAGUUAACCUUAUAAGUACAUGAUAUUCAGUCUAUGUUAGCUCAUAUUUUUUGUGUUCCUAUUUUUUUAUUUUCGAAAUACUUCUUAUUUUAAAUGUAGUUAUUUAAAUCAUAUGAUAUAUAUAAAUUUAGGACGACGGGAAAGGAGAGAAUGAGAGAUAAAUAUUGAAAGAGGGAUGGACACAUGGAUGAGGAGAGAGAUAUAGUUAAAGUUUUCAAGUACAUAUAUUUGAUUGAUAUAAAUAAAUGAAGGAAAAUAAGAAGAAAAUAAAGUCGGAGAAGAGAACGAAGAAGACAAAGGUGAUGAAGAAGAAGAAGAAGAAGAAAAAUAGGAAGAAGAUGAGGAAAACAGAAAACAAGAAGAAGAUGUGACAAAAAAACUUAAAGAAUAAGAAGUAACAAAAGAGAUAUAAAAUGAAGAGGUGAAAGAAAAAGAUAUAAAAGAAAAUGAAAGAAAACUAAGAAGAAAACGUGAGAGAAGAAGGAGAGAUAAAGAUGGAAGACGAUGAAAAAAAAAUAAUAAAAACUAAAAGAUAAAAAAGAAGAAGAAGAAAAACAAUUAUGUAAAGACGAAAAACUCGUUUUUGUCUUAAUUCAAUUGAUUUGUGAGUUUAAUAGUAAAUAUAUUUUUUGUUAAUUUUAUAUGGUGUUUCUUUUUUGGAUUUGCUUUAUUUUAUUAUGUAUAUAUUAAAUAAUUGUUUUUAAUUAUUUUUAGUUUUAGUUUAUAACAUUGAAAUCUCUAUGCCCACACAACAACAAAUUAACAAUGAUAUAAAACCCAAAAAAUAAAAUAGAAAAUUAAAGAAGGCGAGAAAAGAAAAAUAAUCACUAUAGAAAUCACAAAAAGGAAAUAUGGGAGACUAUGCCACAGAAACAAAAUUCACCGGCUUACUAAAGUACGAAACCGAUUUACUUUCAGAAUGAGCGAAGAGUUGACCUUCGAGAAGGGUGAGUUAAUUGUUGUAGGUGAAAAACAUAUGUAGGCUAACGAUAUAUAUAGUGUAGGAUAAAUGUUUUAGGGUUUUUUUUUUUAAUUUUUUUCGGUGGCCCAUUUUACAAAUUCGGUGAAUUAAACAAAAUCAGUGACCCAUUAACUAAUAGUAUAGAUGACCCAUUAAAAUCAUAUUAACCAUAGUGACACGUAGGAUUAAUGAUAAUCCAAUUAGAAUUAAGAAAAAUGACAUAUAUAUAUGACACAUAAGCAAAUCGUUCUGGUGUUAACACGUAAGAAUUUUGACUUCGCAAAUAAUAGUAUAGAUUGGCCUAAGUAGAAAACAAAUCGAACGUAACAGUCAUAUUUUUUUUGGGGUGAAAUCCAAACAAAAAAAGAGUUUUGACUGUAGAUAAACUGGCCCAAUGGGCUAUUUCAGAGUUGUAUACGGGUCAACUUGUUACAUUUUCGAACCUUCGGGGGGAAAAAGCAUUGCAAGUUCGAUAAAAACACCACGAAGUGCGGUUGUCAAAAAGGCAAAUAUUGAAGGGAGUACCAAAACAAAAAAAUAAAAAACCUGCCGUUUCACACUUGUGGGCACCUACAAGACGACAACUUCUUUUUUUCGACACGUGUCUCAAUUGCAUUGAUACACCGACCGCGUUCCUAACUCAAAUCUCUCUCCUUCCGUUUCUCUCCUUCCUUCCUGUUUCUCUCCUCGAAAAGGAUCCUGCAACUUUCAAAAACCCUAGAUACACAAAAAGAGAUUGGAUUCCAAUUUCUCUCCGGCGAUUUUAUGAGAGUGAAAUUCGGCUCACGGUGAGAAUCUCGAUCCUCGAAUCGACUUGAUCGGAGAUUUCCUUCAGUUUGUUUUCUCACCUAAUUCGAUCAAUCUUUUGUUGUUGAUAACGGAUAAUAAUUCUCGAUUUUAGAAUCGGAUUAAUCUUUUCUUUUUAUCCUCUUUGAUUAUUUAAUUGUGUUUCUUUGGUAGCCUCGAUGGAAUUUUGUUAGGUUUAUAUUUUUUUUUCCUUUCUUUUUGCUGUAAAAAUCGAGUUCUUCCACAAUUUGAAUUCGCUUCUGAAACAUUUGUAUACCAAAAUUACUUUAAAAUCUCUCAAAAGUUGGAUUUUUUUUUUUUUGUGUGUUUCUACAGUAUACGGAAAAGUACAUGUUUUCAGAAAACAAUAUAUUCUUCACGGAUUUUCUUUUCUCUUGCAAUGAUUUAACUUCCAGUAUAUACAUGGACGUAUAAAUCAGAUUGUCUGUGGUUGAAACUUACAGGUAAAACUACUCUUGAGCUGAAAGAUGAACACACAGGAGUCGAGAACAACUCGAGGAAACCGACGGAGGAAAGCUGUGAUUGAUCUGAAUGCGGAACCCGGUGAUCAAGAAGGGACCUCCGGUUCUGUAAGUGCUCCUACGGUGCCUACUGGUAACCUUCAGGGUGUGUCUGUACCUUCUCAACCUGUCCCUACCAUGAUUGAUGUCGAUGCUAUUGAAGAUGAUGUUAUUGAAUCAUCCGCAAGUGCUUUUGCUGAAGUAUGCUCCCCCUUAUUUACCAUUUUAUCUCCCCAUUUUGAAAGUGUGAUGGAUAGGCAAAUGAUUUUUGUUUCAAAUUUGAUACCAGGCUAAAAGCAAAUCGACAGGUGCACGUAGGAGGAAUUUGAUGGUUGAUUUGGUUUCAGGUUAGUUUUAUCUAUGGUUAUGGGAUAUGAAUUUGAGCUUUAUACUCUUUGUGUUUGUUACUGAAUUUGAGCUCGCUGAUUAGGAUUGUUUUGUACACAUAUUUUUUCUUACUUGGACGGGUAAGUGCAGGUGGUGUGACUAGAUUGCCAUUCAAUGUAAGACAAAAACGCAGAAGGAUUCCUCCUAAUCAACCUGUGAUCGACUGUGAGCUUGCACCUAUAAACACAAGCUCAAAGGCUCCAGCUCCUCCACCACCACCACCACCACCA
rnacentral:lncRNA from 1 species